rnacentral:RNase_P_RNA from 1 species
GAGGAAUAGGGCCACAGAGACGAGCGUAUUAAGUUACGGUGAAACGCGGUAACCUCCAUUCGCAGCAAGACCAAAUAGGCUGGCAUUGGCGUGGCUCGCGUCGCCAGCGGGUAGGUUGCUUGAGCGCAUGAGUAAUUGUGCGCCUAGAUGAAUGACUGUCAUGCGUUGUAAAACGUAAACAGAACCCGGCUUAUCGGCCAGCUUCAACU